rnacentral:tRNA from 1 species
ACCUCGAUAGCUCAGUUGGCCAGAGCGGAGGACUGUAGAUGUUACAACGGUGAUCCUUAGGUCGCUGGUUCAAAUCCGGCUCGAGGGA